rnacentral:rRNA from 1 species
UACAGAGGGUGCGAGCGUUAAUCGGAAUUACUGGGCGUAAAGCGCACGUAGGUGGCUUUGCAAGUCGGUUGUGAAAUCCCCGGGCUUAACCUGGGAACUGCAGUCGAGACUGCUUUGCUUGAGUAUGGGAGAGGGAGGUGGAAUUUCCGGUGUAGCGGUGAAAUGCGUAGAUAUCGGAAGGAACAUCAGUGGCGAAGGCGACCUCCUGGACCAAUACUGACACUCAAGUGCGAAAGCGUGGGGAGCAAACAGG